CGAGAACGAGAACGAGGAGGAUAAUGAGGGGAAUGAGAACGAGGAGGAUAAUGAGACUGAGAGUGAGUCCGGGAAUGAGAACGAGGAGGAUAAUGAGAAUGAGAGUGAGUCCGGGAAUGAGAACGAGGAGGCUGGUCCAGAGGCUGAUCCGGCUGGUCCGGAAACUGAUCAAGAGGCUGAUUCAGAUGAUGUCUAAUAGUAGAGCUGGAGAAACAGCUUUUCAUUCAAGGUAACAAAAGAAGCAAAAGAGAAUGCAUCUAUAGAUUCAUUUGGCAAAAACAUGGUGAAGGUGCUUCCCCUGUAGACAUGGAUGAACAUGAUUUUACCGUUGUGGCUGAAUUGAUGUGUGUAAUGAUGGAAACGGGUGCCUGAUCCAUAUGAACAAAAGAUCUCGGGUGAUUUUGAUCGAAGACUCUUUCCUUUGAGCAAACUUUAAUUUGUGGCCUCUCUCUGGGUCUGUACAACAUUUCUGCAUAUGAUUUUCACAUUCAUCUUGUUUACACAUACGACACACACCAGGUGGUGUUUGAAGAAGUGACUCUUUGGAAAGUUCAAACUUUAUUUGGAUUGUUGAGUAGUAGACAAAAAAUUAAUGUACUAGCAGUAUUAAAGAAUUUAAGGUGUGAUAGACUCAUUGGUCUUUUAUGAAUUGAGUUUAAGCUAAUCUUCAUGCUUUAAUCUAUCAUUUGAGAGUGGAGAAUUAGAUUAAUAAUCAUAUUUCGACUUUGAUUCCUAAGUUUGAGAUCGGAAGGAGAAGAUUUAGGUUAACUUUGUUGAGUGUUGAACUUGCUAGAAAUAGGGGUUUAGAUUAAGGUAUUGGGUUGCUUUGUUGUUGAACACGAUUGCAAUCGAAAGAAAAUUUCGUGAGAAAACACUGAUCGCUAGGAGAUUAUUGUUGAUUGAUGAUGACCUAGCCUACCUUUGAUUGAUUUGCAUGUGUUGAGAUGACAAUGGAUCGUUGAAUGAGAGUUGGGUUUUGAAUUUUCCAGUUCCCAAUUAUCCC